GACGAACGCUGGCGGCGUGCCUAAUACAUGCAAGUAGAACGCUGAAGGAGGAGCUUGCUUCUCUGGAUGAGUUGCGAACGGGUGAGUAACGCGUAGGUAACCUGCCUGGUAGCGGGGGAUAACUAUUGGAAACGAUAGCUAAUACCGCAUAAUAGUAGAUGCUGCAUGACAUUUGCUGAAAAGGUGCAAUUGCUUCACUACCAGAUGGAGCUGCGUUGUAUUAGCUAGUUGGUGGGGUAACGGCUCACCAAGGCGACGAUACAUAGCCGACCUGAGAGGGGGGUCGGCCACACUGGGACUGAGACACGGCCCAGACUCCUACGGGAGGCAGCAGUAGGGAAUCUUCGGCAAUGGGCGGAAGUCUGACCGAGCAACGCCGCGGGAGUGAAGAAGGUUGUCGGAUCGUAAAGCUCUGUUGUAAGGGAAGAACGAGUGUGAGAGUGGAAAGUUCACACUGUGACGGUAUCUGACCAGAAAGGGACGGCUAACUACGUG
rnacentral:rRNA from 1 species